rnacentral:rRNA from 1 species
AUGCAAGUCGAGCGGACGGAUGGGAGCUUGCUCCCUGAAGUCAGCGGCGGACGGGUGAGUAACACGUGGGCAACCUGCCUGUAAGACUGGGAUAACUUCGGGAAACCGGAGCUAAUACCGGAUAAUGCACAACCUCUCAUGAGGCUAUGCUGAAAGAUGGUUUCGGCUAUCACUUACAGAUGGGCCCGCGGCGCAUUAGCUAGUUGGUGAGGUAACGGCUCACCAAGGCAACGAUGCGUAGCCGACCUGAGAGGGUGAUCGGCCACACUGGGACUGAGACACGGCCCAGACUCCUACGGGAGGCAGCAGUAGGGAAUCUUCCGCAAUGGACGAAAGUCUGACGGAGCAACGCCGCGUGAGUGAUGAAGGUUUUCGGAUCGUAAAACUCUGUUGUCAGGGAAGAACAAGUGCCGGAGUAACUGCCGGCACCUUGACGGUACCUGACCAGAAAGCCACGGCUAACUACGUGCCAGCAGCCGCGGUAAUACGUAGGUGGCAAGCGUUGUCCGGAAUUAUUGGGCGUAAAGCGCGCGCAGGCGGUCUCUUAAGUCUGAUGUGAAAGCCCACGGCUCAACCGUGGAGGGUCAUUGGAAACUGGGGGACUUGAGUGCAGAAGAGGAAAGUGGAAUUCCACGUGUAGCGGUGAAAUGCGUAGAGAUGUGGAGGAACACCAGUGGCGAAGGCGACUUUCUGGUCUGUAACUGACGCUGAGGCGCGAAAGCGUGGGGAGCA